UACAGACGGCCCGAGCGUUGUUCGGAUUCAUUGGGCGUAAAGGGUGCGUAGGCGGUGGGGUAAGUUGGAUGUGAAAUCUUGGGGCUUAACCUCAAAAUUGCAUUCAAUACUGCUCCGCUCGAGUUCUGUAGAGGAGAUUGGAAUUUACGGUGUAGCAGUGAAAUGCGUAGAUAUCGUAAGGAACGCCAGUGGCGAAAGCGAAUCUCUGGGCAGCAACUGACGCUGAGGCACGAAGGCCAGGGGAGCAAACGGG
rnacentral:rRNA from 1 species